GGACACGCCACUGUGUGCUGGUGUAACUAUGCCGGACUUCCCCCUCUCAAGUCCUGAAGCAACGCCACCCCGCUGUAUACUGUUCGUUUCAACCCCACGAUGGCGACGCCCAGCGUCGAUCCAGCUGUCUACCACGCAAACUCGCCGAAUCCACGUCCCAUGGCGCUUGUGCGUGACCCGUGAUCGUCUACAAAUGUCGCGUUGUGCUUACAUCGUGUUCAAACGUUUCCUUAAAAUGUCAUUUUAAAUAAUCAAAUCGUUGAUUGACAGUAAUGAAAAAUCUGUAUUUAACGAUUUUGUCGAUGUGAUUAAUAUUUCAUGGUGUAAUUAAGGCAAGAGAAGAGAAUGAUGUGGUGUGACGUUUAAGGGUGUCCUCUGAUCUUGUGUGCUGAUAAGAUACAAAAUGGAUGUCAUUGGGUGGACGAAGAAAUUGUUCUACGCUGAGCGCAGACUCGCGGAAAAUCCAUUGCUACCAUUUCACUUCAGACGAGACCAGGCAUAGUGGAAAUUCUGACGGAACGUCUAGCAAAGUUUUAGUUAUGUAUUGGAAGCUAUUAUCAAAGGGCCGAUGUUUUUCGUUCCAUUACUGCAAUUACUACCAAUCUGUUCUUCACAUUCGACUUCAGGAAGACACAAAGUUAUUUUCAUUAUUGCCAGUAUCAUAGUCGAUCUUCGCUCGACCCGAAUACGACCGAACUUAUCCGUGAUAUUUUUCAAGAUAAUGUGUGAGUUAAUCUUCCGUGGCGCUGUGAGUCUCCGAACAAUGGCUGGCCAUGUUUACAGAAUGUAACUGUGACCCAUGCAAUAGCAGAGUACUUCAAAAUUCGCAAAAUAUAAUAAAACCAUCUUUCGGUCAUAAUCUUCCAAAUGGAGGAAUGAUAAAACGAGUUUCCAACUACAAAAAACAUUUGCAACAUCCUACGUGACUGUAUUUAAUGAGCCGUUUUCGGGUCUGUUCAAGAAAACGACAAUAUUCGGUAGAUGCGUAAGCACAAGGGCAAACCGGCUAUAACUCCAAUCAAGGACUCACUCGGCUCGGUCCACAUUCCACGUCUAGUCCACCGAUCCCUAAACUCGUCGGCACGUUCCACGUUAUGGUCCAUCUUCGUCCUGGCUUCAUUAUUUCACAGUUCUCGAUGAUUCUUCUCUGGACAUUGUGACCUGAUUCUUACAGUGUCAGUUUAUUUGAAGAAGAGUAAUAGAAGCUAUUAAAAGUUGAAACUAACUUAGGCUUAACGAAAAUAACUUGAGGAUCAGAUUAUGAAAAUGAAAUAAACAGAAUCCGAGGGAUAGUUGAUAUUUCAAUCGAUUCUUCAAGCAUCUUUAUCUCAAUUUCGCUUUGAAAUCGGUUUACUGACACUGUGAAAUCGAUCUACACCGUAGGCGCCGUUCGUCGAAUGUGUUAUUAGUUAAAACAUAUCGGCAGGUCCGCUGAAUCGGCACCUGAAUGAACAAAAAAUGGCAUGACAUGACAAACUGUUGGAUGAUCGAUGUCCUCGGAAAUAUAAAGCACCGUGAUUUUUGCACAUUCAAGGAACCAUUCACAAUCUUUCAACCUGUUUCUCUGUUGUACACGUCAUUCCAACACUCAGUAAUUCUAUUCAUAACUACGUGCUUACUAAAUUUAAAUUUAUCGUUUCAAAUAUCCUAUCAUUUCCUAUAGAAAAGUUUAUUUUCAUUUUGAA